rnacentral:rRNA from 1 species
AUGCAUCCAUCCAUCUACCUCGGCGGUUCAAAUCUGAUCGACUGGGCCAAGUACCUUAUUGCUUGGAAAAAUGUAUGCACACCCAAAACUGCUGGGAAUCUAGGUAUCAAAAACCUACUUUUUAAAAAUAAUUGCCUUCUAAUGAAUUUUGCUUUCAAACUUCUCCAAAAACCAGACUUAUCAUGGGUCAACUGGUUUUUUCAGCACAACUCUCUAGACUUCGAAAACAAAUUGCACAGUCCUUUCUACCUAUGGAGAAUCGUAAAUGAACAAAUUCGAACCCUCCGCAAAAUCUCCUUUGUCCUUACCAACAAUGGCACAUCCACUUUCUUCUGGCUCGACGCUUGGCUUCUUCCGACUCCGCUAGCUGACACCUACCCACACCUUUUCUCCCACUCCACCCCACCCUCGGUCCUGGUUUCACAUGUCAUGCAUUAUGGUUUACUCGCCACUCUGCGGAAUCGCCUAACCAAUAUUGCUUCUGUAGAGCUUGCGUCUGUUUUGUCUCUGUUGCAAGAUGUUACCACCAACGACGCGCCCGACGACAGGUUCCUCAACCACGGCUCUUCCUUCUCCUCGAGGUGCGCCUACUCGUUGCUUUCCUCCGACUAUGAGAUCUAUCUCAACGUAGGGUACAUCUGGAGUUCCAAGGCACCUACCAAGGUCAAGAUUUUCGGCUGGCUUCUCUGUAUGUACAGGUUGAGUACGAUGGCGAAC